ensembl:lncRNA
AAUAUUUUCAUUAUUUCAGAGGCUGAAGUCAUCAAGGAGAAAGUUAAACCGGCUCCUGUAAAGAAAGAGGCUGAAGUCAUUAAAGAGAAACCCAAACCAGCUCCUGAGAAGAAAGGUUUGAUUUACUGUUAUAAAAUUGCCAUUAUUCUUAAGACAAAUUAAGAAAUAAAAUGAUAAAUAAUAAAAUAAUAAAAUGUUUGCUUUCUCUAAACAUUCUCAUGUUGUCAUAACUGCAGAGGCUAAAGUCAUCAAGGAGAAAGUUAAGCCAGCUCCUGUAAAGAAAGGUAUUGAUGUGAAUAAAACCAUCCUGUAAUGAUGUUGCUUCCCAAUGUAUGAUCAUUCCUCACUGGAUUUUUAUAGAGCCUGAGGUUCAUAAAGAAAAGGCACCUGAACUAGUGCCAGAACCUACAAAGAAAGUUGAGGUUCCAAAGGAAAAGACAAAACCAGUUCUUAAAGAAAAGGAACCCACAAUCACCAAAGAAAAGCCAAAGCCAGCACCAAAGAAAGAAGCUGUAGCCAUCAAAGAAGCUAAAGCAGCCCCUGUGAAGGAAGAGGCUGAAAUUGUCAAAGAGAAAGCUAAACCAACCCCUGUGAAGAAAGAGGCUGAAAUCAUCAAGGAGAAAGCUAAACCAGCUCAUGAGAAGAAAGUGGCUGAAGUCUUCAAGGAGAAAGUUAAGCAAGCGCCUGUAAAGAAAAAACCUGAAGUCUCAAAAGAAAAGUUAUUAGAGCCAACACCUAAAAAAGAUGAUGUUGGUCUUUUUGGUUUGGACUUGGAACUCCUGAACUCUAUCAACCAAAAACUGUCUCUUCUGGACUUGAUGAGGAAGGACAUUGGUGAAAUGAAGAGUGAUCUGGAGUCCACUCAAAAUCAAAUCACACUUUUACGGAUGGACAACAGAACAAUCAAAGAGCCAGAGACUGUCGGUGUAAAGGUAAAACCAGCGGUUUUCAAGGAAAGGCUGAAAACAGCAAAAAAAGGCCGCGAAACUCUGAUGAACGUUACUAAGACAGCACAUAUUAAAGCAGAACGUGACGCACUGAAAAACAUCACUAAACCAGCACCUGCAAAGAGAGAUAAAGAGGCUCCAAAAGCUAAGAUCAGACCAGAGCCCAAAAAGAAAGAAAUCACCCGUGAGAAGGUCAAAGAAGAAAAAGAACCUUUAAAGAAAGUAGUCAAGUCAACUGAGAAGGUACCUGUUCUGGACAAGGAAGUAAAAAGAGAAGAACCUGAUGUCACUAAAGAUAUUCCAGAGAUAGAGGAGGAGGACGUUCCCUACUUCCAGUGUUUCUUUGUGGAUGAGGAUGAUACUCAGUAUCCGUUCUUCCCCUUUUCACCACCGCUGUGGUGAGUCCAGACAAACCUCUCAUUCUGAUGUUAAACAACGUGGCAAAGUGAAGACGGACCUGUGAACGCUGAAGAACCUGCUGCUCUGAUGCAGUGGAGAGCUUCACAGUAGGUCCUACAGCACUACACCAGCAACGACUUCCUGGAUUUUAAAACUGGAAAACUUCCUUCUCAAAUAAUUUGUCAUUUUGAAGAACAGAGGUUGCAAAUGUUGCACUAUUUAUUAUAUAAUCUUAAGGCUAUCCCUCUUUUUAUUAAUACCAUGGAUUUGCCUUUUGUUUCAGAAUGAUUAAUAUCUAUUUAUGUCUAAGAAGGAAUGUGUGUAUUGUUUGUCCAGACAGUGGACAAAGAGUUCCUUUCUGAACACUGCAGUGGGUUCAGAAUCGUAAUAUUUUAUGCAUACAAGGUACAUAACCUCGUUUUGAUGGGGUGCUAAUUCAAAGCAUUCCACUGUGUUUUCUGUCAGAAUGGGGUUUGAAAGUUGUUCACUGUUCGCACAACUGGAAGGGAGGAUAUAAUUAAUCAAGAAAUAAGUAAACAACUAUUUCAUGUAUCUUUUCUUAGUAAAACUGUUUACUAAACCGUUUACAGAAGUAACAACUGCACUGACAAAUAAGAGUUUUCCACAGUUAGAUCAGUUCCUCUGAAUGUAUACGUCAUUUUAUUUAUUUAUUAUUUUUGUUACUUUAUUUAUGUUUUUUUUCUCUACUUUCCAUACAUUUUAUUUAAUAUAACUUAUCUAACUAAUCUAUACUUCACAGAGGAAACAAAUAUGUUUUAUUCAGUGCUCUUUAUAAAUGAACACACUGGAUUUUGCAUAACAAAAUUAAACUAAAAUGUGGUGCUAAAUCCAAGAAAAUGCAUUAAACAUCAAUGCAAACUGCAUUGUUUUAAUAUAUUACAUUGCAAACGCUACUGUUUUUACAUUUCUACGCAUAACAAUGGUUUAUGUACGAUAAUGUCUGUAAAAAUGUGGAUGUGUUUUUGCAAUAUUACAUGGAUAGUUCUACCUAAUAUAGAGCAGCCAAUUAAAUGGCAUUCUAAAUUGUCUAUUGCACAUUAUACUCAUACAGAAGAUAAAAUUAUGUGCCAGAUGAAAUGUAUUGCAUGUAACAACAGUGUUUCUCAGCACUACCCCUGGUGGCUAGCUGGCUCAUUACUUCAUUUCUUGAUUUAAUGAUGUUAGUGAGUGUUUAAUGGUGUAUACUAGUGAGACACACCAUUAAACUUGUGCGCCGGUGGGCUGCCCCAGAGACAUUUCUUUUACUGCUGCUGUCUUUUCUGCGGGAGUUCAGCAUGUGGCUCCAUCGAGGUUAAACUCAUGUCAGUACAAAAAGCUUUUUUUCUCUGAUGUACAGUAACUUAGGGUGACUGUAGAUUCUAUUUUCCCCAGACAUGUCCUGGCUAGGAUUUCUAAAUGGCCUAAAAUGUCUGGGUUUUGGCUUUGUUUUUGUACUUGCUGAAGGUAAUGACUGAAACGUAGUUUGUGCAGGCAUUGUGCUUAAUUGACCAAUUGUGGCAUGCAAGAAGGUGGGAUCUACAGAGAAUGUUUAAAGUAAUGCAAAUACAUGUACAUAUAAUGUAUGAGGACUGUAAAAAGCAUGUCAGUAAGAAAACAAAGAAAAAAACCAAGCCAUUUUAGGCAAUGUUUCAGUCCUGGCCAGGACAUGUCUGGGAGAAAGAAGACGUAUAGUCUCCUGUACAAAUGCAUAAAGCAAUGCUCACUUGUAACAGAAAUAGGUCUCUUUUGGACUUUUAAAAAAAGAUAGUUACUUUAACCAUGGUAGAUUAUAAAUGUGUUGGUGUGUUUACAUGCAAACUGUGAAGCAAUGAAUAACAGCAUUUUACAAUAGUUCAUAUAAUUCUUUAAAAUGUGCGUAGUGUUAUUUUUAAAUCUAAUUUACAGUUCAUAUUUGAAAAAUAUGUUCCUCAAAGAUAGUUUUGCAUGAUGUUUGCAUGAUUUUUGUUUAAAAGUGUAUCUAACCCAGAUUUAAUUUGUGUUUUGUAACACACUAAAAAUGUAUAAUGUAAUAUUGUAUUCAUGAUUUUUUUUUUUCUUUGCAUGGUGUUGCGGUCAGAUAUUCAGAAUCAUUCUCUUUACAAUGUAUAGCCAUAAACUGAAAUCAUAUUUAUAAAGCUCUCCAGAGAAUCAACAAUAUGGUCUGUAUGCAGAAUCAAACCAGCCUGUAUGCAGCUGUAAAUGCUAUUGGAACUGUAAUGCAGCUGUAACUGUAAUUCAGACUUGAAUUCUGCUUAAGGUCUGAUUUACUUUUUAGAAGAAAUAAAUGUUUGCAAUCAUCACA